UUUUGCAAAAAAGCCCCUCUAUUUUCAAGAAUUCAACCCGCAGUCCCUGUUUAAGUGGAUCGGGGAAAACGAUUCGUUUUUGCACAAAACACCCUGUCGUUUGGAUUAUUCAACCCGCGGUCCGAGCAAAUUUGGGUAAAGAAAAAAACACGACCAAAGGAGGAGAACGGGCUCGCCUCCUCUCCCUCUCGCUCAAGUCCUCGCCGCCGCCGCCACCACCCACGCCGGCAGCUUCCGGCGAGCUCCGACGCCGCGCAGCACGCCCCCCAACUCCCCAGAGUCCGCUCCUCCCUACCCUCCGGCCAGAUUCUCCGCUCCCGGCCUCUACCGCCCGCUCGAAACGCCACCCCCAUGGCUAGGGUUUCGGGCAGGGCUUCGCCGACGCGUCUCCGGCGGCCCAGAUGCAGAUGGAGCACGCCAUGGGAAUUCCCCAUCCACCAUGGUCGCCGCCAUCAAGGGCUUCUUCACAGAGAUGUGGAGGACGCCAUGGACCUGCAGCUCCAAGGUCAACAGGGAGGAACCCUAGCCAUAAGCACCUCCUCGGAUGACGCCUCUGCUACACCAAGAUAGAGAUAUAUAUGAUAUCUACAUGGCUGCUAUGCUACUUUUUUUGUGUGAUGAAUCAUUGUGAGUUUCGAAGAAACUUCCAAUGUUACCUCCGCCAAGUUUGCCGGCAGAAGAAGCACAUCCAUUGAGCCGUUCAAUGUCGCCUGCGGUGGCUACACCAGAGGCAUGCAACAUUGUUGAAGGGCAAAGGUACUCUAAGAAGCUGAAUGAUAAACAGGUCACCAACAUACUUAGAGCUUCCUUGGGUUUGUGGAGGACAUGUCUGGUUUCACAAAGUCAGUUUCACUUUCACGAAGACAGUGGAAAUGCAGAAAAAGGAAAGCAUGUGGAUUUAGAAAUUUCAGCAUUGUAGAGCUCAAUUGAAAUGGAAAACGGGAUUUAUAGCAUCCAGCUAGAGUGGUGAUUCGAUUUUUGAUGAUUGGUACUUUGGUUGUGAGGUCGAUGAAGACAUGAGAUGGAUUUGGUCGGGGCAGUGGGUUUGCUCGCGAGGAGGUGGGAAGGACGAAGAUAGUGGAAGAAGCUUGAGAUGAUGGUGAUAUUACUGACUCAAUCCUUUAUUAGCUCUAUUUUGUGUGGAUCUUUCAGGUGCAUGAAUGAUAACUUGUGCAAAACUACGCUUCCCUUGUCAUUUGAUAAUUUUUAUCUUUAUGGUGCUCAUAACAUAUUUUUCAUCUAUAAUUAUAGGAGUUUGUUACCUUCUUUUGGUCGAAGAAUAAGAUGUGGGUAAUAUAUGCAUUGCCGACUUAGCUUAACAUUUUUUGAACAGAAUUUCUAUAAAUUUUAUACAAGUAUUGUGCUGAAGUCCGUGAAAUAGGUUAAUGGCCGAGAGUGUUUAUAAGUUAUCAAGUCGAGCACAUAAGUCUGGAAGUAGCUAAUUUUCCUACUGAAAAGUAGAUACAGAUUUCUGAAGACAUGAGACAUUAAUACAUAGUAUACAUAGCAGUCUUCUUAAUUCUAUGAUUCUUCAUACCUUGAGGCUGUUAAACAUCUAUGCACCUUUCAUUUGAUGAGGUACAUUCAAAUUGGGUCUGUUUAUAACUUUGAUGAAAGAAAAUUAUCUUCCCUUAGAUGGUCAAGGUUCCAGAGAUCAUUGAUAUGAAAGAAGGCAUAUAUUUGAUUCACGGAAUUGCCAGUAGUAUUGGAGCGAGCGUGAGUAUCAAUUGCUCGGAGAGGAAAUCAUGAACCGCGAUCAGAAUACUGAAAUAUAUCUGAUCUGUGUGUGUAUCCUGGCCACUUGAUUACCGAGUACUGCCGUUUGUCUUCCCAUUUGAUUUCUCAUAUGAAGCUACUAAUUUUGACAAUUCCUUUUAUUUUACAAUGCUAUUGCUUUUGUUUUCCUGUGGAAAAUAAACUAGAGGGAAUUAACGAUUUGUUUUUCUUUAGAUGUUGUCGGUCGGGUGUCUUCUGCUACUGAAGUUUUACCACCAUCUGGUGGUGCUUGAGAGUAGAGACGGCAUACUUUCAUCAGCAGUGGCCAAACCCCCAGCACCGCUGGUGCUGUACACCCCUGUACCCCUCGACAUCCAGUGCCUCGCGUCUGCCCAACAUGAACACCUCCUCAAUAUGUACAUCUCUGAAUUUUGCCAUUGCUAGAGAAAGUAGAGCAUUGUUUUACUGUAGCUAUAAUUUGAGUUUAGAAGAUAUACUCCUCUCUUUUUGACGUCAAUUUUUUCAGUUGACUUCUCCGUCCAGUCUCAUGUCUUUCUCUUUAGCAGGGAUAGGUGAGUACUAAACGAGUAAAAAUGUCCUUCUCUUUUUCAUAUUUCUUCCUUUUCCUUACUACUUUUGUGGCUCCAAAUCUCAUGAUGGCUCUAUGUCUGUUCUUUUUGUUGACAUGGAUUUUACCCUGAAAAUUUUCUUCUGAUCUACAAUGUUCUGCCAUCUAAAUUUGUCUGUAUAUUGUGAAUGAGUAGACACUGGUGUAGAAACCCAAUCGGAUGAAAUUACCGACUACAGAGAGGUGUAAUUAUUAAUUAAUUUCUUGCUUUAAAAGAUAUGCAACUAGCAGAGUUUCUUAUUUUUAUCAAUUGGAUUACGACCGAAGUGAAGAACUUAUGUGGACAGUCUGGCAGAUUUCAGUGGCAAGAUUUUUGUACAAUUACAGUAGCAGAUUUCAGAAAUUUGUAGAGCACAUGAUUUACAAGAACAAGAUAUUCUGUCAAGCCAUGGAUAUCAACAAUCAGUCAAGCAAAGAAAUAUUCAUGGGAGAUAUACAUGGAUCCACAAGAAUGUGCACCGUAUGGCACUACCCUUUUGUCAUCGAGCCACUAUCACAUUUUGGUCAGCAAUCAGUUCAAGCAAUUCUCAGCGCCAUUAGUCAGAAGUUGGAAUUUACAUCUAAGCGAACAAUACAUCAAGCAACAGAAGAAAAAGUGGUCAUCUCUUUUUCUUGGCACCAAGAUGCCAUACAAGCAUUCAGACUUCGGAAUCGCACACGGAGUUUGCUCCGAAACUGCUUCAACUAAGAAAUAUGGGAAUUUCUCUGAGCAAACUUUGUUUGAUGUUUUUGUUAUCGAUUUAAGCUGCACAGGCCAUGGAUGCGGCCUAGAACUGCUGUCGUCCCUGUCCUGCGAUGCGCCGACAGCCAUGGACCAGCCGCGCGAGUAGGAGCACGCCACGGCGGCUGCCAUGGAUGCGGCCGAGAACUGCUACCGCCCCUGAAUUGCAGCCGCGCCGCACCUGCCGUGUGCCCCUAUCCUGGGCAUGAGGCUGAUGCCGCCCAGUGCUGCCGCUGGGGCGUGCUACUACUCGCCUCUCCGGUCCGCUGGUGCCUCCCGCUCGGGCGGCGUACCAGGCCGACGGGGAGGCACUGUGUGCGUUCGAGCUGCUGCUCGAGUCGCCUCGUGAGUCGCGACCACUGUUGGACCCGACGGAGCCGCCGGCUGCGCGCGUCCAGGGGAGGCCAGUGCGGGAGAUGGUCCUCCUCGACUGUCCACCAACACCAAGCGAACACCAAGUCUGGGAAGGCCGCAAGGGGGAGCACUGGAAAGACACGCCACCGCCGCCGCAAGGGUUAGCCUCUGCUUCCAUGUUUCAUGAGGGCGGCGCCAUUGUUUGGACUUGUGGUGCAGCUGCUGCGUCCUGUUCGAGAGAGAAAAGAGAGGGUGAUGAGAGAGAGGGUAGAAGGAGAGGGAGAACCGCAGAGGAGCUGGCUCACCGGCGAGGUCCUGCUGCUGCUUCAGAUCUCCGUGCGGGGGGUCGGGUUCGAGCUCCUGCGAGCACUCUCGCCGCUCGGGCGCCUGGUAUAUGGGAGACUGUUUUGUGCAAGGGAAACUGAAAACGAGAUGAAGAUUCAGGCUUUUACAAAGGAUAAAAAUAGACCACGUGUAAGCACACCA